rnacentral:rRNA from 1 species
GACAGAGGGUGCAAACGUUGUUCGGAAUUACUGGGCGUAAAGCGCGUGCAGGCGGUUAUGCAAGUCGGGUGUGAAAGCCCGGGCUCAACCCGGGAAGUGCAUUCGAUACUGCAUAGCUAGAGUACUGGAGAGGAUGGUGGAACUCUCGGUGUAGAGGUGAAAUUCGUAGAUAUCGAGAAGAACACCGGUGGCGAAGGCGGCCAUCUGGACAGAUACUGACGCUGAGACGCGAAAGCGUGGGGAGCAAACAGG